rnacentral:misc_RNA from 1 species
UUAUUGCUGAUAUUAGACAUCGUGUGCAGGGAAGGAGAAGCAGAUGAACCAAGUUUGGCAGCACAGAGGGACCUUGAAUAGAAAUGUGGACUUUUCCUACAAGAAACUGCCUCCUUUAUCAGAGAGGAUUUAUUGUGAUACGCAUUACCUCUACCUGUUUCACGCAUAUGCAAAACACUUGCAACAUUUUCUUUCUGACGGCGUUUGUAUGGAAGAUACUCAUAGUACUGCGAGAAAACAGUAUUUGCCAUUUCUCUGUCUAGUUUUUUUACAGGAAAGUUAUCUAGAACCCGUAGAUGAGGCAAUGAUGCAAUCAUGUAUUCCCUGUAGUGCUUCUCAUAGCAGAUUGGUGAAGGAUGACAAGUAAGAUACAUUUUGGAAACAACUGAAGUAUCUCUCAGUUUCAAGUUUAUAUACUCGGAAUAAUCAUCUCUCUCUUUAACAUGCAAAUCACCAGAAGAAACCUCAAGUUGAAAAUCCACCUUUCCGCUUAUUGCAACAAAAGAGGUGCCUGA